GCUUCCUCUCCUAGGGGAUCAGACCUCCUUUCCAUCCUACUAUACUCGAAAACAGUCUAGUGGGAGGGACACAGCAGAGCAAGCUGCUGUCAGGGGCAGAGAUUGCAGAGUGCAGCUUGAGCAGCCUGUGGCCUAUGGAGUGUCAGACCACAGUUUAGCCAAUUUAGAGACCCUCUGCUUGCAAUGGCUAUGAAAUAUAUAUUAAUUAGCAUGUCUGCAACCACUGAUUCUUGGCUGAACCAUUCCUAUUUUACGCUGCUGUUUUGACUUUGCGCAGAUGUGAAUACGAGCUAGAAGGCUUGUGGAAAAUGAGACACAGAAUAGCAAAACAUGUUAUAAACAAUGUUUGCAAGGUUAAUUUAAAUGUAGAUUAUGAUUCUUAAGAAUUAUUAAUGAUAUAUUGCUUUGCUUUUUUAGAAAGUAAUAGUAUGCAGCGGAGAGCUUUUAGAAACCUCUUGUUUGAACCAGUUUUCCCAUACAGUAGAUUCAAUCGUGUGGGAGGAGAUGACACAACCCAGCAACUGUGCCCGCGGGAAAGCUGUGGUGUGCCCCAAGUGCAAGAAUAUCUGUGCUGGCUGCAUGUGCACAAAGGGCUGGAUUUGCAUAAAACCAGCGCCAAGAGGGAGUGAAAACAAUGGGAGAGUGUGUAGGAACUACAAAAGGCAAGAUGCAUGGAUUGGUUAAAUUCUACCUCAAGGAGCCUUCCAGGAGCUAAGCAUCAAAUAGUGCACGCAUCUCUCUUUAAUUCUGUAAAAUAAACAAGCAAAAGGUAACUUCAGCUUUAGUGGACAUGCAGACAAACCAAAUGGAGUUGCCAGUAUGCUCUUGUAUACAUCCUUCUCAGCAGACCUAAAACAUUAGCUUACACAAUACAAACAGCAGCAUUCUGCAAACAUUUUUGGCAGUGCUGUUACCUCACUUAUUUUGCAGCAUAUUAUUUUUACUACACCAAAUCACACUGAAGUAAAUAGGCUCCUCAGAUGGACUCCUCAGACGUUAGAAGGACUUGACAUGAAAUGUUCUGAUGUCUUAGGGGGAAAUAUCUGAGAUAUCACAUGGCAAUAUACUGUGCAGUAACAGAAGUAUGGCUAGGGGUCCAGCUUGUGUUACAAGAACACAGUGAUACUAGCAAUGUGAAAAGCAGAUCUGCCUACUUCAUUGAACUUUAUUAAGCAUAAUCUUUUUAUGAUACAUGUGAAGCUUCUAGGAGUGAAAAGGGUGCUUGCACCAUUGAUAUUAAUGGAGUCCUCUGCAUUAAAACCAGUACUCGGGAAUCUUUUGUGCAGCAGAGGGAAUCGAAGGGUUACUGGUGUAUGCAGUAACUGUUUUACGGGCAUUGCUACUUGUGGCAGAGGAGCAAAUGAAAGAGUAAAGAGACGGAAAAAAAGACAAGGCACUACUCCAGAAGAACAACGAAGAAAUAUCUUUCAAAUACCUUGUUCAUUUCCAUUGGAAGGGAGGUAAGUAACCUGGGAUCAAAGCGCUUCUUAUUGCCAAGCAAACGCAGGGAGCAGCUUCAGAACAGGUUUGGUUCUUCUGCAAACAAUUACGGUAGCAAAGCCACGGCAGUCGCCUCGCUGGGAGAGGAGCGGGGGGGUCGUGCUGCAUUGGGAGCCUUUUGUUGGCCGGCUCUGGCCGUGCUCACCGCACACCGGUGUUCAGCAGGGUACUGGCAUCACAUGGAAAGCCAAACAGCGCUCGCCAUCUACUAAAACAUUUGCUCUGAUUCAGAUGGAAUUUGUGUACUCACUGGACAAUUGUAUAUUGUAGUUUAACACUCAGCCUUUUCUGCGCGCGUUUGAAAACAUCGAGGAAAAGCAAAGGGAUUACGCUGUUGGAAACAGAGAAGCAAAAGUGCACGUUCAGAUCCCGAGUAUGCCACAUAUUACUAAAAUAUCUUCAAAUCCUCGCCACAGAAGUUUCUAAAAACCGAGCAGCCUCUAAGUAAGGCCUUUGUUGACAUGAGUGCCUCGCUUGUUACCAAAUGCUCCAGGUUUAUUAGCUUUGGAGUUUAACAGAGGAAAAAGGCAAAUGCCUCUCAACGUCUGCAGUGGACUGGCUUCCUUGGCUCACUGCUGACUUUCUACCAAAGGGAAAAGAGUUCAAACUCUUCUGCAAUUUCUGUUAAAUGUGAGGAUAAUUUUGUGCUGAUCAUUAUCUAUUUAUUUAUUUAUUGCUAAUAAUCUGGCGUAUUUGCUCAGCCUCUUGCUCUCAGGGAAGAAAAUUUACUCAGUUGAUUUUUGAAUCCAAAUGUGGAAAAAGGAGUUGUAAGUUUCGUGUGAUUUAUGGGUAAAUUAGAAAAGUGGCCAAUUUGGCAUAAAAUUGUACAGGCAAGAAAAAUGAUCUAUCAGCAAUGAAAGAAAUAGUGGGAAGGUUUUGGAAAAGUUCCCACUCUCAAAAUAAUUUUCCCCAGAAUUGUAUAUCUUUAUUGCAAUUUACCCUGCUGUAAACUAUUGCAUCUUCAGAUGUAAGCACAGAACUGUAACUCCUUUUCAAGUUAUGCUGUUUCAGAAAUACAGGCUGCAAUGGCUGCAACACACAGUUUAAGGAGCAGCGGAUCUACAAGAUCUGAACUACUCACUUUAAUUUAGUAUCUCAUGAUUUGAGUUUAAAAGAGGUGGGCAGUAGUACACCACAAAUAGGUUAAAACCACAUGUUUCUGAUCUGAGGGAGAACCAGAGCGUGGAAAAACAGUUUGGGAGCUUCUGAGCCUGGAGUUUUUGUCUGGCUCAUUGAAAUGUUGGAGGGCACUGGCAAACUUUUUCUCCAGCAUGUGAAUGGAUACGUGUGGAUGAAUUUCUGUGCAGUGAGAUAAAAAGCUGGAAUUUAAACUGGAAAGGAGCUCUGUGUCUUACUUACAGCUUUUGGUGUGAUUGCAGCAAAGUAAAUGUCUGAUGGUGGUUAUGUGUUACCGUUUCUUUCACUGCUUGUCACUGCAGAUCCACAUCUUAGUGCUUAUGGCGUAUUAAGUUACAGCCAACCAACUUACUUCC